GAUGAACGCUGGCGGCGUGCGUAACACAUGCAAGUCGAGCGGUGAACCACUUUCGGGUGGGGAUCAGCGGCGAACGGGUGAGUAACACGUGGGUAACCUGCCCUUGACUUCGGGAUAACUUCGGGAAACCGGGGCUAAUACCGAAUAGGAGCUUCUAUCGUGUGGUGGAGGCUGGAAAGUUUUUCGGUCAAGGAUGGGCCCGCGGCCUAUCAGCUUGUUGGUGGGGUAAUGGCCUACCAAGGCAGCGACGGGUAGCCGGCCUGAGAGGGUGUACGGCCACACUGGGACUGAGACACGGCCCAGACUCCUACGGGAGGCAGCAGUGGGGAAUCUUGCGCAAUGGGCGAAAGCCUGACGCAGCGACGCCGCGUGCGGGAUUGAAGGCCUUCGGGUUGUAAACCGCUUUCAGUAGGGACGAAGCCUUUGGGUGACGGUACCUGCAGAAGAAGCCCCGGCCAACUACGUGCCAGCAGCCGCCGUAACAC
rnacentral:rRNA from 1 species